CGGAUCCGGCUCUGGGGACUCGGGGUCCGUGGGCAGUGGGGACUAUGACUAUUAUUGUUAUUAAUAUUAUCACUAUUAUUAUUGUCAUUACUAUUAUUAUUUGGUGUGUUCUCUGCACUGCCCCUGUGCGCAUUUGUAUGUAGGCAGGUUUGUGUGUGUUUGUGUGUUGCUGUUUCUGUGGCCAGGUUACAGGCAUCUUCAGGCCUGAGGGGCGUGGCCUAGCUCGAGGACUGGCCACACCCGAAGCCCUUGCCACACACCUGCUCCUCAUCAGGGCUCGUCGGUGGAACUAUUUAGAGGAGUGAUGGAGCUUCCACCGACGCUGGAUUAUUGCGUUUUGACUUCACGUCAGUCUUCAAUCAUUGUCAGAGAGAGUGAGUGUAUGCCUGCUUGGAUUAAGUGUUUAACGACUGCCUCUAUGGUUUUCCCUCAGGAGGAACGUGGGACGAGGCAGAGCAGUGAGCACAGGGAGUGCAGAGAGCACUACACUGGAACUUGUGGAAAGAAGACACAACACGGGAGUCUGGGACACUGGGGAGUUUAUUGUUGCUUGCUUCACCAUCCUUUGUAAAUAAACACUGUUGCACUGAAGAGUCCGGCGUUUGGGUCCUAUUUCCCCAUCUCCCCACGGUCUGUCUGCCAGACCGUGACAGAAUAAUCCAGCCACCAUGGACCCAGCGGACUCAACGGAGAGUUUUAGGAGAAAGGUGACAGACAAAGUUUAUCGUCUGUGUGACCUGUGGCUGGAAGCGCACGAGGAGAGUUUACGUCGCGCUGUAGAGAAGCGACUGAAAGAGACGCAGUCUUGUUUCCCUUGGGUAUGGGAUACGCUCUGCCCGAUCGUCGUGGACUUUCUAGUUAACACGCUCCACCUCCACUCUCCUACUCAGGCUGCUUUUCUGCCCGACCAGCUGGUGGACCCGCAGCCUGACACGCCGGCCCCGGCAUCGUUAAAGAAGCGACGCUCGCGCCGCCGGCGCUCCUCACCGCAGCCGGAUUCACGGACUUCACUACAGCCGGCUGUGGUGAGUUAUAAGGACAAUUUUUCACUUUCCACUCCAUCUGUUUGUUUACCUGGGAACUGUGAGACCGCCAAGCCUGUUACUCGGGCAGCCGCCCUGUCUAUAGCUGAGCGGUCUGCAGUUCAAUCAUCUACCCCACCUACAGCAGCCUCCAUUCCACUACCCACUCCAGCAGCUCUGAAUGCUGCUGGGAGUAAAAUGAACUCCAUUAGUGUGUUACAGCCUUUCCCUGUUAUGAUGGAAGUAGAAGGGGAAGAAAGAAAGAAGAGGGUAGAAAGGAUCAAGGAGGUAGAGAGUGUUGCUAAAGAUUGUAUCUCGUUGCCUUUAUCCAAACUGAUUGCGGGCACUGCACAGCCCACGCCACAGCACCCCGGCCCGGCCGUGCGCCCUGUGCAGCUGCCAUUAGUACCGCCUCGGCCUGAGGUCUUUACACCUCCCUUAGCCUCACUGUCUGCUGCUGCCACCCUACUGACUGCUUCUCUCUCUGUUCAACCGAUUGCUUUUGCUGUGCCACCUUACACUUCACCUGCAGCUCAGUUAGCCGCUCAAGCACCUGCAGCUCAGUUAGCCGCUCAAGCACCUGCAGCUCAGUUAGCCGCUCAAGCACCUGCAGCUCAGUUAGCCGCUCAAGCACCUGCAGCUCCACUUCCUCAACAAAUAUCAUUACACUCAGUAGCUCAGUCUCUAGUACUGUCACCUGAUCUAUCGCUAGCACCGUUAGCUGCCCAGCCAGAAGCUCCGUUAGCUGCCCAGCCAGAAGCUCCGUUAGCUGCCCAGCCAGAAGCUCCGUUAGCUGCCCAGCCAGAAGCUCCGUUAGCUGCCCAGCCAGAAGCUCCGUUAGCCGCUCAGCAGCCACCUUUAGCUCCGUUAGCCGCUCAGCAGCCACCUUUAGCUCCGUUAGCCGCUCAGCAGCCACCUUUAGCUCCGUUAGCCGCUCAGCAGCCACCUUCUCCACCACUGCUUUCAUCUCACAUUCAGUUAUCCAUAGCUCAGUCAGCCACUCAUCUUCACCCUCGGCCAGGGGUCCCAAUUGCCUCUGGUCCUGCAUCUGCUCCAGCUGGAGGGCUCGAGCAGCCCGUCCAGCCGGAAGUUUCGUCUGCUGGGGGUUCGGGAGAACCCAGCCAGCAUCCUGCCUCGUCGGCUGGAGGGCCUGAGGAGCCCGUCCAGCCCGAAAUUUCGUCUGCUGGGGGUUCGGGAGAACCCAGCCAGCAUCCUGCCUCGUCGGCUGGAGGGCCCGAGUCCCCUGUCCAGCCUUAUGCCACGUCUGCUGGUGGGUCCGAGGAGCCCACCCAGCAUCACACCUCGUUAGCUGAGGGUCCUGGUGGACCCAGACAGCACAUCCUUCCGUCUGCUGGCAGUCCGGGGAGGUCUGUUCAGCCGUCACCUGCUGAAUCAUCCCCCGUGACAUCUACAUCACCGCCUGCAGCAUCCACCUCACCGCCUGCAGCUUCAUCUCCUUCACCAUCCACAUCACCUGCUCAACCAUCAUCUUCGCCGCCUGAUCAGGAGCUCUGCGAGCCGAAGUGGGAGCUCGGCGAGCCGCAACAGGAGAGAGCGCCGCCUGAUCAGGAGCUCUGCGAGCCGCAGCAGGGGCGCGGCGAGCGGGAGGAGCCCGCGCCGCCUGAUCAGGAGCUCUGCGAGCCGCAGCAGGAGCGCGGCGAGCGGGAGGAGCCCGCACCGCCUGAUCAGGAGCUCUGCGAGCCGAAGUGGGAGCUCGGCGAGCCGCAACAGGAGAGAGCGCCGCCUGAUCAGGAGCUCUGCGAGCCGCAGCAGGGGCGCGGCGAGCGGGAGGAGCCCGCACCGCCUGAUCAGGAGCUCUGCGAGCCGAAGUGGGAGCUCGGCGAGCCGCAACAGGAGAGAGCGCCGCCUGAUCAGGAGCUCUGCGAGCCGCAGCAGGGGCGCGGCGAGCGGGAGGAGCCCGCACCGCCUGAUCAGGAGCUCUGCGAGCCGAAGUGGGAGCUCGGCGAGCCGCAACAGGAGAGAGCGCCGCCUGAUCAGGAGCUCUGUGAGCCGGAGCAGGAAUUCGGCGAGCGGGAGGAGCGGCUACCAUCAAGAGAGGGGCUCGGCGGGUCGGAGAAGCGCGCACCGCCGUCGGAGGUCGACGUGCAGGAUGUAUCUUCACGUCCAGCGCGCCGUCCACGUCCAGCCGCCCGGCCGCCGCGUCCACGUCCAGCCGCCCGGCCGCCGCGUCCACGUCCAGCGCGCCGUCCACGUCCAGCGCGCCGUCCACGUCCAGCCCCCGGCCGCCGCGUCCACGUCCAGCGCGCCGGCCGCCGCGUCCAGCCGCCCGGCCGCCGGGUCCUGCACAGUCAGUACAUCAGGAAUCGUGGCCGCAGCGCCGCCGUCACCGGACCCGGGGCGAGCCGCCGGAGGAGCAGCACCGCCGUCACCGGACCCGGGGCAGGCCGCCGGAACUGUUUCGCCGUUGCUGCCGGACCCGUGGCCGCCCGCCAGAACUGCAGCGCUGCCACCACAGGACCAGAGGUAGGCCGCCUGAACUCUUUGAUAGUAGUUGCAGGUCACCUGAACUGUGUUUCUGCUGCUGUCGAACCCGAAACAGGAUGCCUGACUUUACUUACCUGCAUUGCCGGCCAUCGGGUCGGCCGCCUGAACUGUUUUGCUCCCGCAAUGGUAACUUGGGGGGGUUAUUGAACUGUUUUGGGCCUCCGCUGGAGUCGCGGUAGGGCCUCUGGGACUUUUUUGUGAGUGACAGUUUGGUCAUUUGGGGUUGGUUCCAGCCCUCCGUCCUGUUGCCCCCGCCGCCCGCCCUGGGUGGUUGUGUUGUGGUUUUUUUUUUUGUUUUGGGUCGUCGGGAGCCGACCCUAGAGGGGGGUACUGUCACGGAUCCGGCUCUGGGGACUCGGGGUCCGUGGGCAGUGGGGACUAUGACUAUUAUUGUUAUUAAUAUUAUCACUAUUAUUAUUGUCAUUACUAUUAUUAUUUGGUGUGUUCUCUGCACUGCCCCUGUGCGCAUUUGUAUGUAGGCAGGUUUGUGUGUGUUUGUGUGUUGCUGUUUCUGUGGCCAGGUUACAGGCAUCUUCAGGCCUGAGGGGCGUGGCCUAGCUCGAGGACUGGCCACACCCGAAGCCCUUGCCACACACCUGCUCCUCAUCAGGGCUCGUCGGUGGAACUAUUUAGAGGAGUGAUGGAGCUUCCACCGACGCUGGAUUAUUGCGUUUUGACUUCACGAGGAACGUGGGACGAGGCAGAGCAGUGAGCACAGGGAGUGCAGAGAGCACUACACUGGAACUUGUGGAAAGAAGACACAACACGGGAGUCUGGGACACUGGGGAGUUUAUUGUUGCUUGCUUCACCAUCCUUUGUAAAUAAACACUGUUGCACUGAA